AGGAGCCUCCAUCAGCAGGAGCGCUGGGCUGCAGCAAGGGAUGGGAUUGGGAGUGGAACCGACAAGGCUGGGAGAGCUGUUGGCAUUUCUCCUGACAAAAUCCUGCACAAACGGAGCCGGCCCAGGUGAAACCACGGCGUUGGAGCCAGCUGGUGUUCAGUGCUGAGCCCCGUUCCUUCCCCCUGAGCUCUGCCCUCAGUUUCCUCAGCUGUAAAGUGAAGAAGAUGCUGCCAAGCCCUGCUUGAAAAGCGCUGUCAGACGCAGCAAAUGUCACCCAGUGGCUCAGGUGGUGCUUGGUCAGCUGGCACACAGCACAUCAAGGGCACAGGACACACUGCAUCAGUUGCCCACUGAGGGACCAGCAAGGCUAAGGCCAGCCUGGACUGACCAGUGAUGAGUGGAGAGGAGCAACAAUUUCACCCUGCAAGCCAGAGCCAAGGAGGGAAUUGGCCUCUGCCAUCCUCAAAGCCCAAUUAACCAAAUCACCACAGCUCAGGAGGCUUCGGCAGGAGCACGAGGAGAACUCCAAGGAGGAAUUGCAAUGAGGAGCCGAGGCUGGCUGUGCUGGACCCUUCACCAUGUGAACAUGCCCAGGCUCCAAUGCCUCAGCACAGCCCCAUGUCGGAGCAGCCCUGGACCUGCAGAACGGCACAUGGCAGAGUGGCAGUGAGCCCCUAG
ensembl:lncRNA